rnacentral:rRNA from 1 species
UUAAAUUGAAGAGUUUGAUCAUGGCUCAGAUUGAACGCUGGCGGCAGGCCUAACACAUGCAAGUCGAACGGUAACAGGGAUCAGCUUGCUGAUUCGCUGACGAGUGGCGGACGGGUGAGUAAUGUCUGGGAAACUGCCUGAUGGAGGGGGAUAACUACUGGAAACGGUAGCUAAUACCGCAUAACGUCGCAAGACCAAAGAGGGGGACCUUCGGGCCUCUUGCCAUCGGAUGUGCCCAGAUGGGAUUAGCUAGUAGGUGGGGUAACGGCUCACCUAGGCGACGAUCCCUAGCUGGUCUGAGAGGAU